GACGAACCGUGCGAACGUUAUUCGGAAUCACUGGGCUUAAAGGGCGCGUAGGCGGAUUCACAAGUCUGUGGUGAAAUCCUCCAGCUUAACUGGAGAAGUGCCGUGGAUACUGUGAGUCUCGAGGAGGGUAGGGGCAUCUGGAACUGCCGGUGGAGCGGUGAAAUGCGUUGAUAUCGGCAGGAACUCCGGUGGCGAAGGCGAGAUGCUGGUUCCUUUCUGGCGCUGAGGCGCGAAAGCCAGGGGAGCAAACGGG
rnacentral:rRNA from 1 species